rnacentral:rRNA from 1 species
UACGGAGGAUGCAAGCGUUAUCCGGAAUGAUUGGGCGUAAGCGUCCGCAGGUGGCUAUGUAAGUCUGCUGUUAAAGAGUCUAGCUCAACUAGAUAAGAGCAGUGGAAACUACAUGGCUAGAGUGCGUUCGGGGCAGAGGGAAUUCCUGGUGUAGCGGUGAAAUGCGUAGAGAUCAGGAAGAACACCGGUGGCGAAGGCGCUCUGCUAGGCCGCAACUGACACUGAGGGACGAAAGCUAGGGGAGCGAAUGGG